rnacentral:rRNA from 1 species
AGGAUACGGUUAACGGAGCGAAAGCGACGUUCAACCUCAAAAGAAGCAGAGGGGGCUUAGUGGUGGGGUGACUGCGUACCUUUUGUAUAAUGGGUCAGCGACUUAUAUUCUGUAGCAAGGUUAACCGAAUAGGGGAGCCGGAGGGAAACCGAGUCUUAAUUGGGCGUUAAGUUGCAGGGUAUAGACCCGAAACCCGGUGAUCUAGCCAUGGGCAGGUUGAAGGUUGGGUAACACUAACUGGAGGACG